UGCAUUAUAUACACACUACAUAAACUCACUGCAUUAUAUACAGUGUUUGUGUAGUGUGUAUAUAAUGCAGUGUGUUUGUGUAGUGUGCAUUAUAUAA